AGUCGUAACAAGGUUUCCGUAGGUGAACCUGCGGAAGGAUCAUUACUGAGUGAGGGCCCUCUGGGUCCAACCUCCCACCCGUGUUUAUUGUACCUUGUUGCUUCGGUGCGCCCGCCUCACGGCCGCCGGGGGGCUUCUGCCCCCGGGUCCGCGCGCACCGGAGACACCAUUGAACUCUGUCUGAAGAUUGCAGUCUGAGCAUAAACUAAAUAAGUUAAAACUUUCAACAACGGAUCUCUUGGUUCCGGCAUCGAUGAAGAACGCAGCGAAAUGCGAUAACUAAUGUGAAUUGCAGAAUUCAGUGAAUCAUCGAGUCUUUGAACGCACAUUGCGCCCCCUGGUAUUCCGGGGGGCAUGCCUGUCCGAGCGUCAUUGCUGCCCUCAAGCACGGCUUGUGUGUUGGGCUCCGUCCCCCCGGGGACGGGCCCGAAAGGCAGCGGCGGCACCGAGUCCGGUCCUCGAGCGUAUGGGGCUUUGUCACCCGCUCUGUAGGCCCGGCCGGCGCCAGCCGACAACCAAUCAUCCUUUUCAGGUUGACCUCGGAUCAGGUAGGGAUACCCGCUGAACCUAAGCAU
rnacentral:misc_RNA from 1 species